rnacentral:rRNA from 1 species
UACGUAGGGUCCGAGCGUUGUCCGGAAUUACUGGGCGUAAAGAGCUCGUAGGUGGUUUGUCGCGUUGUUCGUGAAAACUCACAGCUCAACUGUGGGCGUGCGGGCGAUACGGGCAGACUAGAGUACUGGCAGGGGAGACUGGAAUUCCUGGUGUAGCGGUGGAAUGCGCAGAUAUCAGGGAGGAACGACCGGUGGCGGAAG